rnacentral:piRNA from 1 species
UCAAGUGACCUAUCUACGGUGGGGGCUGA